CGAUACCCCAGGUCAGGCGGGGCCACCCGCCGAGUUUAAGCAUAUAAAU
rnacentral:rRNA from 1 species